rnacentral:rRNA from 1 species
UACGUAGGGGGCUAGCGUUGUCCGGAAUCAUUGGGCGUAAAGAGCGUGUAGGCGGCCCGGUAAGUCCGCUGUAAAAGUCAAAGGCUCAACCUUUGAAUGUCAGUGGAUACUGCCGGGCUAGAGUCCGUAAGAGGCGAGUGGAACUCCUGGUGUAGCGGUGGAAUGCGCAGAUAUCAGGAAGAACACCAACGGCGAAGGCAGCUCGCUGGGACGGUACUGACGCUGAGACGCGAAAGCGUGGGGAGCGAACAGG